rnacentral:rRNA from 1 species
ACGAACGCUGGCGGCAUGCCUCAUACAUGCAAGUCGAACGAGAUCUUCGGAUCUAGUGGCGCACGGGUGAGUAACAUGUGGGAAUCUACCUGAAGGUUCGGAAUAACUGCGGGAAACUGUAGCUAAUACCGGAUGUGUCUGCAAAGAGAAAGAUUUAUCGCCUUCAGAUGAGCCCGCACUAGAUUAGCUAGUUGGUGAGGUAACUGCUCCACCAAGGCUCCGAUCUAUAGCUGAUUUGAGAGGAUGAUCAGCCACACUGGGACUGAGACACGGCCCAGACUCCUACGGGAGGCAGCAGUAGGGAAUAUUGGACAAUGGGGGAAACCCUGAUCCAGCAAUGCCGCGUGAGUGAAGAAGGCCCUCGGGUUGUAAAACUCUUUCAUCAAUGAUGAUAAUGACAUUAGUUGAAGAAGAAGCUCCGGCUAACUUCG